GACGAACGCUGGCGGCGUGCUUAACACAUGCAAGUCGAACGGUGACGGAGAGCUUGCUCUCCUGAUCAGUGGCGAACGGGUGAGUAACACGUGGGCAAUCUGCCCCUGACUUCGGGAUAACGCUUCGAAAGAGGUGCUAAUACCGAAUACGAAUCCUGCAGGCAUCUGCGGGAUUGGAAAGUUUUUCGGUCAGGGAUGAGCCCGCGGCCUAUCAGCUAGUUGGUGAGGUAAUGGCUCACCAAGGCGACGACGGGUAGCCGGCCUGAGAGGGCGACCGGCCACACUGGGACUGAGACACGGCCCAGACUCCUACGGGAGGCAGCAGUGGGGAAUAUUGCGCAAUGGGCGAAAGCCUGACGCAGCAACGCCGCGUGAGGGAUGACGGCCUCGG
rnacentral:rRNA from 1 species